rnacentral:sRNA from 1 species
UUUGAUUUUUUUUUGGUUUU